GCUAGGGGAGGAAUGGAUUAGGGCAUGGGUGGGGAUAAGAGUUCUAUUCUGAUCACAUUAAAUUUGAGAUGCUGAUUAGAUGUAGUAGCAGUUUCUUAGGGUUGCUGUAAUAAAUGACCACAAAUUGAGUGGUUUAAAACAACAGAAAUGUAUCCUCUCACAGUUCUGGAGGUCUGAAGUCUGAAACCAAGGCGUCAGUAAGGUUGGUUCCUUCUGGCUGCUCUGAGGAAGAAUCUGUUCCAUGUCUCUCUCCUAGAUCUUCGCAUUGCCAGCAAUCCAUGGCCUAUGGAUACAUCAUUCCAAUAUCUGCCUCUGUAUUCACAAAGCAUUCUCCCUGUGUGUCUCUUGUCUUUAUGUCUUCUCCUCUUCUUAUAAGGAUGCCAGUCAUACUGACUGUAGUGCCACCCUAACCCAUUAUGACCUAAUCUUAACUUGAUUAUAUCUGCAAAGACCUUAUUUCCAAAAAAGGUCAUAUUCAUAGGUACAAGAGGUUAGGACUUCAACAUAUAUUUUGGGGAGACAAUUCAACCUAUAAAGCCUCGUGAAAGGGGAUGUUAAGUGGGCCGAUAGGUAUAUAAGGAUGACGUUCAGAGGAGAGGUCUGCUUUGGAGAUAUUAAUUUGGCAGUCAUAGAAAACCAGCCUAGGGACUAGAUGUAGAUAGAGAAUAGAAGGGGUACUAGGUUGAGCUCUGGGGCUGUCCAAUAUUUAGUGGUUUGUGGAAGAGAAGGAGCCGGCAUAGAAGACUGAGAAGAAGUGGUCAGUGAGGUAGAAAACCAGGAGAAUGUGGUGUCCAAGAAACUAAGAGGAGAGAAGUUUCAAGAUGGAAGUAGCGGUCAACCUUGCUGAGACGUGGCUCUCAGACCCAGCAGCAUGCAGACCAGUGGUGAUGCCAACACGAUUAAUUUCAGUGGAGCAGUGGGGAUGGAAGCUCACCCGGAGGGGCUGAAGAGAGGAUGUUGAGGGAGAAAGUCAGACAGCAGCUAUACACAACUCUUUCAAAUUCAAAAAGUUUUUCCAUGACACAUAGAAAAACUGGGUGACAACAGAGGGAAAUGUGGGUAAUGGGAGGGUUGUUUAUGUUGUAAAGCUGGAAUAUAUUAGAGAAUGUUUGUAUGAUAUUGAACAUGUUCUUCUAGUGAUGGAAGCAGAGACACUCAAUCCACUAUAUAAAGAGGGAAGGCAAAUCAUGGAGGACACAUACAGGUAGGGAAGUAGAGCUGGUGCCAGGAAAAUGAGGAAGCACUUCAAAGUGCUUUUCUUUUCUCCAUGAGGGAUGAGGCAAGGUCAUCAGCUGAAAGUGAGGGAUGAAGAGAGUGAAAGAUGUUUGAAGAGACAGAAGUUAUGAGGUAGAAGCUUUGAUCAUGUUGAAUAAAUAUGGGAAGACUACAGAACACUUCAGGUGAGCUUUGGCUCAGCUCCAAGCGUCUUUUUCACUCUAGGAUAGGACAUGCCAUUCUGUGGCACAGGAUAAAGAGGAUACUGUGAUGGCUCCUAAAGCUUCUGCUCUGAUCACUUCUAUUGCCAUUUGAUUGGCCAGCAAGUCACAUGACCAAAUCUGAUUGCAACAAGUUAUCACCUGUGGUACACGGAUGCAAAAGCUUUCUGAGAGGGGGUCCUAGCUUAUUGGAGUUAAUGAGCUGCCUACAUUGUGGGCAUGUGGUCUAAUUGAUACUGGCCCUGGGCAGGUUUGCACUUUUAAUCAUUAAUGCCCUGCAGCCUGCUGGAAGCAUGGAAAGAAACAGGCUGACUAGAACAUGCCAGAAGACAGAGGCAAAGCCACAGGGAAGCCUCCCACUGCCCAGGAGGUGCCUGCACAAGUGGAGCUCAGGGCCCUGUUGCUGGGCAGAAACCUUGGUGGUCCUGCCUCAAGGGAGGCAGGGAGACCUCUCCCUUGGGUAACCUCCAAUGUUAAACAUAUCAGCAGGGGCCAGGCAUAUCUCAGGCCUGAGUAGAGGCUUGCACAUCACUCACUCCAUCAUUCAUUCACUCAAAAAUAUAUAUUAAGUAUCAACUCCGUGCCAGCCCUGGUACAGUAAUAAACAAGACAGACAAGCUGUCUGCCCCUUCAGAGUUUCAUUUUAGUCUGCAAAAAAGAUAAUAAACAAGUUAAGGAAUAAAUCAGCAGACAAUAAACAAGUUAAGGAAUAGAUCAGCAUGAUAAGGUCAGCUAGUAAUAAGUGCUGUGGAGACAAUUAAAGAGUGAUGUGAUAAGAGUACUUAGGUGAGGGGUAAGCUCACACUAAGUUCUAGUCAGAGAGGGAUGCUCGGCAAAGCUGACAUUUAUGCUGAGACUCGAGGCAUGGGAAGGAGCCAGCUUUGCAAAGUGCUGGAGGAAAAGCCUUCCAAGCAUUAGGAAUGACAGGUGCAAAGGCCCCAAGGCAAGGAAAGGCUGCAGUUAUUUGAGGAAGAGAAAGGAGAUAGGUGUGGCUGAAGCUUGAUGAGCAGGAUGGAGAAUGACUGGAGAUGAGGUUGGAGAGUUGAAUAAAGCUUAGGUUAUACGAAGUUUUGUAAAGCCAAGUAUAUCCGUCAAAAGACACUCAGGAAAAAUCAGAAAUCACUCUAGAUUUUUCCAGUAGGAGGAAUUUAGUUUGAGGAAUUGGUAACAAACAUGUGGGAAGGGCUAGAGGAGCAAAAAGAGGGAGAUGAGGUUAUCCAAAGAUUAGUGAUUGCAGGAAAUCACACUAUCAGCCCUGAGGUUAGAAGAGCAAGAUCAGAAAUGAGGACAAUUGGGCACCUGGGUGGCUCAGUCAGUUAAGUGUCUGACUUCCACUCAGGUCAUGAUCUCACGAUCCCUAAGUUCAAGCCCCGCAUCAGGUUCUGUACUGACAGUUCAGAGCCUGGAGUCUGCUUCGGAUUCUGUGUCUCCUGCUCUCUCUGCCUCUCCCUAGCUCUCUCUGUCUGUCUGUCUGUUUCUCUCUCAAAUAUAAAACUGCUCUACCACUGAGGCGGUUAUUAGGAACCCUGUGAGCUAGAACCUGAGCACAAGCUUUGUUAUUAGGUUCAGGAGGAUAAUGUAUGUAAAAUACUCAGUAUAGUGCUCAGCACUUAGUAAGGUCUCCAUAGACGGGAGCUAUGUUAUAAAGCCACACUCCAAGGACAACCAACAUUACAUGGGAGAUGCCCAGCCUUUUAAAUGAGAUAUAGGAAAUCUUAUCACAUGGAAAAGUUGGGAACCAAAGGUUUUAGGAGAGCUCAGUUUAGACAAAUUGAUAGAAUCACAGAAUCUCCAUUUCCAGUAUUCUCCCACAGGACUCACGCAAAAGACCUCUGCUAUGCUGUUUCUGCAGGCUCUGCUCGGACCGAAGUGGGAAAUCCAAAGCAUUCAACAGAGCAUGAUGGAGGUGGAAGGCGUGUGGUGGAGCAGUGAGGUGCCAGAGGAGAUAAUGAGCACUUGUUCCAGUUAUCUAUUGCUGUGUAGCAAAAAGCUUAGAGCUCAAAACAAUCAUUUUUUUUAUGUUUAUCAUUCUCUGGAUCAAGAAUUUGGAUGGAGCACAGUGUGGGGAUGGUUGUUUCUGUUUCUCAAUGUCUGAGGGCUCAGCUGAUAAGAUUAAAAGGAUAUGGGUCUCUCAACAGUUCGGGGCUAGAAUCCCCAAAGGCUCAUUUACUCACAUAUCUGGUGCUUGGGCUGGAUUGACUUGAAGAUCAGUACAGUUUUGUUUUUUUUUUAAGAUUUUUAUUAUUUAUUUAUUUAUUUAUUUGGGGGAGAGAAAGAGAAAGAGAGAGAGAGAGAAAGAGGAAGAGAGAGGCAGAAAGAGGGAGACAGAGGAUCCAAGAGUCUGCUGUGGGGCUUGAAUUCAUGAACCAUGAGAUUAUGACCUGAGCUCAAGUCAGAUGCUUAACAGACUGAGCCACCCAGGCACCCUGACCUGAAGAUUAGGACUGGAGACCAGAGUGCCUACACAUGACCUCUCUAAGUGCUCUGGCUUCCUCACAACAAGGUGAUUGCACGGUAGUUGGACUUCCUAUGUGGUGACUCAGGGCUCUAAACAUGAGUUUUUCAGCUAACAAGGUGGUAACUACAUCUCCUCUCAUCACAAAGCCAAGGAAGUUUCUCAGCACUACUUCCACUGUAAUCUAGAAUGUAUAAGGGAGCCCUCAGGACUCAAAGGGAGGGGAAGUAUACUCUGCCUCUUGACGGGGGAACAGCAAAGUCUAAAAAAGCAUGUGAGGUGGGAGAUAAUAUUGGACCAAUUCUGGAAAAUAUAAUCUGCCACAGGCCUGCAGGCUAGAAUUCACACUUUCCAUGGGCCUGGGCCCUUGCCAGCCAUCUUAGGAAGAGAACUUCUGAGCUCCCUGAGAAAGAUGGGGCCAAAGGCACAUGCCCCUCUCUAUGCCCUACCUUCUCCUCCAGAGGAAGUCUCCCCAAAACCCAAAAAGGGAGGAGAUCUGUCGCCCAGAAUAAGUCUUCAUAGAGUCUGCUGUUGAAAACUCAGGGGACAUAUGUCACCUUAGAGAGCAAGAGAGCUAGAAACUGUGCUAGGGAGUCUCAUAACAAUUGACCCUGGACAGUGAUGAUGAUAGAGAUGAUAUUUACUGAGUGCCUAUUUGGGACCACGCACUUGAGUAUAUCUUUUCCAUUUAAGCUUCCAAAGUAAAUGUAGAGCCUUAAAUGCACAUGUCAGAAAGCAAGACGAUUGAAAAUUAAUGAGCUAAAUUAAUAAGUUAGAAAAAAAAUACAGCAAAAUAAACUCAAAUAAUGUAGAAGGAAAUAGCAAGAUAAAAGAUAGAAAUUGAAGAAACAGAAACCAAAUAUGCAAUAGAGAAGAUCAGCCAAGCCAAAAGCCAAUUCUGUGAAAACCGAUGAAUUUCUCAUGAUAGUGACCAAGAAAAACUUGAAAGAAAAAAAAAAUAAACAAUUUCAGAAUGAAAAAGAGGGAUUUAAUUUUUUUUUUUUUUUUAAAGAUGGGGGCACCUGAGUGGCUCAAUCAGUUCAGUGUCCAAUUUCAGUUCAGGUCAUGAUCUCACAGCUUGUGAGUUUGAGCCCCGCGUUGGGCUCUGUGCUGACAACUCAGAGCCUGGAGCCUACUUCAGAUUCUGUCUCUAUCUCUCACUGCCCCUCCCCUGCGCACGCUCUGUGUGUGUGUCUUUCUCUCUCUCUCUUUCUCUCAAAAAUAAAUAAACAUUAAAAAUUUUUUUUAAUUUAAAAAAAGAAGUAAAAAGAGGGAUAUUGUUAUGGAUGCUUCAGGUAUCAGAAAGAAAUGAAGAGAAUAUUAUGAAUAAUUUUGUACCAAUAAAAUUGAAGAUAUAUGUGAAAUAGACAAAUUGCCUGACACAUAUAACUUACUAAUACUGAUUCAACCUAAAAUAGGAAACCCGGAUCAUCCUACAACCAUUAACAAAAUUUAAUCAGAGGUCAAAAAUAUUCCCAUGAAGAAAGCCCAGUCUUCACUGAUGAGUAGUAAAUCUUUCAACACGCCAUUAGAGAAUGAAGAUUCGCUUCUUCAGUGGAGGAAACUAGCUCCUGGAGUUCAAGCAACUUGCCUAAGGGCCCAGAGCUAGCAAUAGUCAAACUCAUGAUUUGAACCCUGGUUGACCUGCCUUCAAAGCCAGGGAGCUUAGCCAUUACACUCCCCAGCCUCCUCUUCAAAUGCUAUAAUUAGCAGCGUAUCUGUGAAGGUGAAGGACAAAGCCCUGAUGCAAAAACAUGCAAGAACAAAUUCCACGUUUGCAGAUAUGGAAGGUAGAGCUCCCUACCUAGAAAAGUCCCAGAAAUGAGGAAUCUGGUUAUUUCCAUACAGAGAAGGAACCUGGAAAUUAUCCCUAGGACGCCACCCUGCCAUUUUUCAAGACCUAUUUAAGUGCCACCACUGCUUCCCUGCAAGGCCAUAAAUCCUGUCCUGAGCCCCAGAGCUGCCCUAUAGCACGGUAUCUGGGCCUCUUGUAUACAUUCUCUGUUUUGUAUCAUUCUCACUAAUGUUUUCCAACCUUGAAAAUGCAUGGCUUCCUAAAAAUACAGACCCCAGUUUCAAAAACCUAUAUUAAAAAGUUAAAUGCUGAGGGGCGCCUGGGUGGCUCAGUCGGUUAAGCAUCCGACUUCAACUCAGGUCACGAUCUCGCAGUCCAUGAGUUCGAGCCCCACGUCGGGCUCUGGGCUGAUGGCUUGGAGCCUGGAGCCUGCUUCGGAUUCUGUGUCUCCCUCUCUCUCUGCCCCUCCCCCGUUCAUGCUCUGUCUCUGUCUCAAAAAUACAUAAAGGUUAAAAAAAAAAUU